AUUGAACGCUGGCGGCAUGCUUUACACAUGCAAGUCGAACGGUAACAGGCCUUCGGGUGCUGACGAGUGGCGCACGGGUGAGUAAUGCAUCGGAACGUACCCAGAGGUGGGGGAUAACGCAGCGAAAGCUGUGCUAAUACCGCAUGUGAUCUGAGGAUGAAAGCGGGGGACCGAGCAGCAAUGUUUGGCCUCGCGCCUUUGGAGCGGCCGAUGUCGGAUUAGCUAGUUGGUGGGGUAAAGGCCUACCAAGGCGACGAUCCGUAGCUGGUCUGAGAGGACGACCAGCCACACUGGGACUGAGACACGGCCCAGACUCCUACGGGAGGCAGCAGUGGGGAAUUUUGGACAAGGGGCGCAAGCCUGAUCCAGCAAUGCCGCGGGCGGGAAGAAGGCCUUCGGGUUGUAAACCGCUUUUGGCAGGAACGAAACGGUGUCCGCUAAUACCGGGCGCUAAUGACGGUACCUGCAGAAUAAGCACCGGCUAACUACGUG
rnacentral:rRNA from 1 species